AGUUAUAAUGUCGCUGAUUCACGGAGCUGGCGUGAAAAGAGUAGCUGUGUUCGAACACUCAUACUAAGCGCACUAUGCCAAAAAUUCCCGGACGUCGUACUAAAUUCGACAAAAUACAAAGUAUGCAAGCACUGGACACUAUUUCCGUGCUUUUAGGGACCGUAAUGCAAUUCUUCAGAAAACGGGCGCGGCUUCACAACGUUUUCAGAUUUGAGGAAAAUGGCGGAAAAUAUGCAGCCGAUGUCCGACAAGAGCGGAUACAAAUGUAUUGCUUUAACUAAUUAUGACAAAUGUUAAGACAAUGUUGAGCAAGUGUGUGCAGAAGGGAAAAGAAUCGUAUGCCAGAUGAAGGGAAAUGCUGUAACUGCAGGUGAACAUGCACCUGAAUUCUUGGAGUGCCCUGAGGGAGAAUGAGGUGGCAAGGUUAAGGAGUGUCCAGUAUAUCUUCUAUCUGGAGGUGGUGAGAAGAUUGGACGGGAACGAGUGGCAGGGAAGAAGAAAUCGUAUUAGAAUCACCACGACCAGUGAAAGGUUUCUCAUCAACCGAGGGAUAGUGGAAUGCUACAUGUUAAAAAGAUGGACUUUGUGUUAUGUAUUGCAAUGUUCAUAAACUGUACGGCACAAGUAGAGAAUAAUUUUAAGAAAAUUGGAAUUGUGAAUGCCGCUGAAUGUUUUUUGGGUCUCCUUGAUUUCUGUCGGUGAAUGUACCCUCAUCACAGGCCCCCGAGCCUGUGUAAGGAUGUAUUUUGUAGUGGACUAUGAUUGAAGAAGUGUGAUGGGUUUCCUUAGUUGACAUAAUUUAUUUUGUAUGAAGUAGUUUUCCCCCUUUCCCAAAAUGUUUUUUUUUUAUUCAAUACCCCGUCCAGCUGGUGGCGGUAAUGCACCAUUAACAUUGGAUGCCAACCGCCGUUAACCCCAUCGAAGAAGAAGACUGAAGUUGGGGACUCAAUGCCAUAUUACUCUCUGUAGACUAUGUGAAAAAGCCAAAUGUGUUCUCAAAUGGAGUGUGUUAGUCUGACUUUUCGAUGUACUUUAUGUUUUUGGCAAUUUUCUACUCCUUCCCCAGUUUUAUAUUUGGUGUGGGCCUAUGUUCCAGAUAAAUGGCUUCAUUCAGUAGGGCUUACUUACUGGCCUCAUCUGAUGCGGCAGUCCACCACUCUCCUUCUUGGUCAAAUAGCCCUUACACAGCCUGGAGGUGUGUUGGGUCAUUGUCCUGUUGAAAACAAAUGAUAGUCCCACUAGGCACAAACCAGAUUGGAUGGUGUAUCACUGCAGAAUGCUGUGGUAGCCAUGCUGAUUAAGUGUUCCUUGAAUUCUAAAUUAAUCUCUGACAGUAUCAGGAGCGAAGCACCCCCACAUUAUCACAACUCCUCCUCCAUGCUUCACGGUGGGAACCACACAUCAACCGUUCACCUACUCUGCGUCUCACAAAGACACCGUGGUUGGUCCAAAAAUCUCACAUUUGGAAUCAUCAGACCAAAGGACAGAUUUCCACCAGUCUGAUGUCCAUUUCUCGUGUUUCUUGGCCCAAGCAAGUAUCUUCUUAUUAUCGGUGUCCUUUAGUAGUGGUUGCAGCAAUUCAAUCAUGAAGGCCUGAUUCACACAGUCUCUUCUGAACAGUUGAUUUUGAGAUGUGUCUGUUACUUGAACUCUGAAGCAUUUAUUUGGGCUGCAAUUUCUGAGACUGGUAACUCUAAUUAACUUAUUCUCUGCAGCAGUAACUCUGGGUCUUCCUUUCCUGUGGCGGUCCUCAUGAGAGCUAGUUUCAUCAUAGCGCUUGAUGGUUUUUGUGACUGCACCUUGCGACUGCACUGUCCUCUUCAAGUAAUGAUGGACUGUUGUUUCUCUUUGCUUAUUUGUGCUGUUCUUGCCAUAAUAUGAACUUGGUCUUUUACCAAAUAGGGCUAUCUUCUGUAUACCACCCGUACCUUUUCACAACACAACUGAUUGGCUCAAACGCAUUAAGAAGGAAAGAGAUUUCACAAAUUAACAAGGCACACCUGUUAAUUGAAAUACAUUCAAGGUACCUCACCUUUCUGAGUUUGAGAGAAUGCCAAGAGUGUGCAAAGCUGUCAUCAAGGCAAUGGGUGGCUACUUUGAAGAAUCUCAAAUAUAAACUAUAUUUUGAUUUUUUUAACACUUUUUUGGUUACCACAUAAUUCCAUAUGUGUUAUUUCAAAGUCUUCACUAUUGUUCUACAAUGUUUAUUUUUAUUUUACCUUUAUUUAACCAGGCAAGUCAGUUAAGAACAAAUUCUUAUUUUCAAUGACGGCCUGGGAACAGUGGGCAGGGGCAGAACGACAGAUUUGUACCUGGUCAGCUCGGGGGUUUGAACUUGCAACCUUCCGGUUACUAGUCCAACGCUCUAACCACUAGGCUACACUCACGCCCCAGCAAGUAGCAAAUAGUACAAAUAAAUCAAAACCCUGGAAUGAGUAGGUGUGUCCAAAUUUUUGACUGGUACUGUAUUUGAUAGACCCAAAGUAUCAGAUCACACCAUGUAAAGGAACAACCUCUAAUACUUUUUUUCUCUCAAUAAAAUGCAACUAACUGGAUUUAUGUAAACAUUAGAUUAUUCAAAUAUGUAAUACAAAUCUCCAACUGAUUUUUAUUUUAUAGUGCUAUAUACAGUGCAUUUGGAAAGUU